rnacentral:snRNA from 1 species
AACGGAAAGUUGCAAUGAAGAGA